CUGGAGCAACAUCUCUGGAGACUGAUGCUCUUUUUAUCCACAGAACAUGUAUUGCACAGGCAAAUGUAGCUUUCUCAAUCAAUGUGCCCCAGAUCAGCUCUGAAGGGACCACUUCCAGAGUGUGAGUAUGUAGCUUAUUCUGCAUACCAGCACAAUCCCUAGUUUCU
ensembl:misc_RNA